GUGAUCCACCCUCCUCGGCUUGCCAAAGUGCUGGGCUGACAGGCGUGAGCCACCGUGCCUGGCCUAACCAUCUUAAUUCUACUUGACUUCUUAAUGCUGGAAGUACCUUCCCUGAUACUCCCUUAUCUAGAUCAGAGCCCCCUUGAUCUUUCCUCGGAUUGCCAACUCCCUGGCUCUUUGGUUCUUAAAAUUCUGGCUCUCUAACUUUCCUAUUUCCUUUCUCAAAGAAUUCAGGAACUCAUUUAGUAACAAACAAACAAACAAAUAACAAACUAUUAUUCUUCAGCCAGGUGACUCCAAAAUUAUUUUCUAAUCUUGAUUUUUCAAAAGUGUUUGAGAUUUAAACCUCAACCUCAGCUAAACAAGAAAGUAGUAUUUUUUUCUUUAUAAAGACAAGGAGGAUAAAGCAAAAUAAUGUAGAAUAUAAUGUUAUGUGAAAUACUUGCUAUUUUAAGGAUUUUUCUUUUAAGACAAUAUGUUAUAUUUAUUUAUAUUCAAAGUUCCUGAUAUAGUUUUUAUUAUGCAUCAUAAAUUGUGGUAGGUACUAAAAACAUAGAAAUGAAGUAAACGUUAUCUACCCACAGGAGCUUAAAGUCUGUUUAGAAUCUGGCAGAAGGAAUUAGUGAUAGCUGGACCAACAGGAAGGAAGCAUUAACUUGGGUAUUAUUUUAUUGUCCUAGAAAAUUUUCACAUACUUGACAAAUAGUAGAAUGUUUUAUGUCUUGAUCUCUAUUUUCUAAUUCCCCCAAACCAUGCAAGAUUUCUAUUCUACUCACAUACAAGUAUUAUAUUGAUCUGUUAUAUUAUUGAAGGCUCUUUUAAUGCAAGAGAAAGAAAACCAGCUACAACCACCUAAAAUCAAAUGGGGAGUUUCAUGGUGCACAUCCACAAAGUGGACAUGUCAGGACAGGGGAACAUCUGGAUCACAAGAAUGCCGGUUCCCAAAGACAAUAAGGAUGGUUUCCAGCCUCUACUAUUUCUGCACUGCGAAGCCAUCAUCUCCAUUUCAGACUUUCCCACUAAGCAGGAAAUACAAUUGCCAACAGCAGCUAGCUUCGUACCUCAAAGCAACACCAGAAAGAAGAAGCAUUUCCAUCGAGGGAAGGAGUGAGUGUAAGGAGUAUUUCCCCCAAAAGAAAGAGAAGAACAAAGAAGCAUAAAGAUUGAUUACUGCUUUGCAAAGCCACAGAAACAAUGAGAUCAAGAAGUAAGAAAAUCAGGAAAUCUUCAUUACUCUUUACAAAGAAUUAAUAAGAUUACCAGUGGAGUCGUUCUAUGCUUUUAUGUAAGGGGUUAUGUUCCAAGGAAUUCAAAACAAAAAAGGAAAGGAAAAUACCCAACAAAUAAGAGUUGUGGCAACUUGAGAACUCACAUGACUCUGAGGUUUUAUUUCUAAGUAGUACUUUUGUGUGAAGAUAUUAUGAUAUUAAUAUCACUCAGUUACCAAAAAUAAAAACUUUAAG
rnacentral:lncRNA from 1 species